UACGAAGGGGGCUAGCGUUGCUCGGAAUCACUGGGCGUAAAGGGCGUGUAGGCGGGAGAGAAAGUCGGGCGUGAAAUCCCUAGGCUCAACCUAGGAACUGCACUCGAAACUUCUUUUCUUGAGUACCGGAGAGGAAAGCGGAAUACCUGGUGUAGAGGUGAAAUUCGUAGAUAUCGGGAGGAACACCAGUGGCGAAGGCGGCGACCUGGGCCAAUAUUGACGCUGAGGUGCGAAAGCGUGGGGAGCAAACAGGG
rnacentral:rRNA from 1 species